GACGAACGCUGGCGGCGUGCCUAAUACAUGCAAGUCGAGCGAAGUUUUUCUGGUGCUUGCACUAGAAAAACUUAGCGGCGAACGGGUGAGUAACACGUAAAGAACCUGCCUCAUAGACUGGGACAACUAUUGGAAACGAUAGCUAAUACCGGAUAACAGCAUUAACUGCAUGGUUGAUGUUUAAAAGUUGGUUUUGCUAACACUAUGAGAUGGCUUUGCGGUGCAUUAGCUAGUUGGUGGGGUAAAGGCCUACCAAGGCGACGAUGCAUAGCCGACCUGAGAGGGUGAUCGGCCACACUGGGACUGAGACACGGCCCAGACUCCUACGGGAGGCAGCAGUAGGGAAUCUUCCGCAAUGGGCGAAAGCCUGACGGAGCAACGCCGCGUGAGUGAAGAAGGAUUUCGGUUCGUAAAGCUCUGUUGUUAGGGAAGAAUGAUUGUGUAGUAACUAUACGCAGUAGAGACGGUACCUAACCAGAAAGCCACGGCUAACUACGUG
rnacentral:rRNA from 1 species